rnacentral:rRNA from 1 species
AAUGAACGUUGGCGGCGUGGAUUAGGCAUGCAAGUCGAGCGAGAAUCUGUCUGUUGAAGCUUCGGUGGAUUCAGUCAGAGGACAGCGGCAAACGGCGUAGUAAUACGUAGGUACGUACCCUCAGGUUGGGGAUAGCCACGGGAAACUGUGGGUAAUACCCAAUAAUAUCUGCGGAUCAAAGGUGUGAUUCCGCCUGAGGAGCGGCUUACGUGAUAUUAGCUUGAUGGUGGGGUAAUGGCCUACCAUGGCAACGAUGUCUCGGGGGUGUGAGAGCAUGGCCCCCACGACCGGAACUGAGAUACUGUCCGGACACCUACGGGUGGCUGCAGUCGAGAAUCUUCCGCAAUGGGCGAAAGCCUGACGGAGCGACGCCGCGUGCGGGAUGAAGGCCCUUGGGUUGUAAACCGCUGUCAGAGGGGAUGAAAUCAUGGUUGGUUAUCCUUCCAUGUUGACAGAGCCUCAAAGGAAGCACGGGCUAAGUACGUGCCAGCAGCCGCGGUAACACGUACUGUGCGAACGUUAUUCGGAAUCACUGGGCUUAAAGGGUGCGUAGGCGGCUUAUCAAGUCAGAUGUGAAAUGCCUGAGCUCAACCGAGGCACUGCGUUUGAAACUGAUAGGCUUGAGUAUUCCAGGGGUAUGCGGAACUGCCAGUGGAGCGGUGAAAUGCGUUGAUAUUGGCAGGAACACCGGUGGCGAAGGCGGCAUACUGGGGGAUAACUGACGCUGAGGCACGAAAGCCAGGGUAGCGAACGGGAUUAGAUACCCCGGUAGUCCUGGCUGUAAACGAUGAGUACUGGGCGGGAGGAAGUUCGCUUUUUCCUGCCGUAGGGAAACCAUUAAGUACUCCGCCUGGAGAGUAUGGUCGCAAGGCUG